CCUACGGGAGGCAGCAGUGAGGAAUAUUGGUCAAUGGACGAGAGUCUGAACCAGCCAAGUAGCGUGAAGGAUGACUGCCCUAUGGGUUGUAAACUUCUUUUAUAUGGGAAUAAAACAGGUCAUGCAUACCCUCUUGUAUGUACCUUAUGAAUAAGGAUCGGCUAACUCCGUGCCAGCAGCCGCGGUAAUACGGAGGAUCCGAGCGUUAUCCGGAUUUAUUGGGUUUAAAGGGAGCGUAGGUGGGUUGUUAAGUCAGUUGUGAAAGUUUGCGGCUCAACCGUAAAAUUGCAGUUGAAACUGGCAGUCUUGAGUACAGGAGAGGUAGGCGGAAUUCGUGGUGUAGCGGUGAAAUGCUUAGAUAUCACGAAGAACUCCGAUUGCGAAGGCAGCUUACUGGACUGCAACUGACACUGAUGCUCGAAAGUGUGGGUAUCAAACAGGAUUAGAUACCCCAGUAGUC
rnacentral:rRNA from 1 species